AGGGCACCACCAGGGGUGGAGCCUGCGGCUUAAUUUGACUCAACACGGGAAAACUCACCCGGCCCGGACACUGGAAGGAUUGACAGAUUGAGAGCUCUUUCUUGAUUCAGUGGGUGGUGGUGCAUGGCCGUUCUUAGUUGGUGGAGUGAUUUGUCUGGUUAAUUCCGAUAACGAACGAGACUCUAGCCUACUAAAUAGAUCGUCGGCUUACAAACGCCGGCGAGACUUCUCAGAGGGACAGGCGGUGAUUCAACCGCACGAAACAGAGCAAUAACAGGUCUGUGGUGCCCUUAGAUGUCCGGGGCCGCACGCGCGCUACACUGAAGUGAUCAGCGUGCUUUUUCAACCUACUCUGUCAAGAGUGGGGAACCCAAUGAACCUUCUUCGUGAUUGGGAUAGGGGAUUGUAAUUAUUCCCCUUGAACGAGGAAUUCCCAGUAAGCGCGAGUCAUAAGCUCGCGUUGAUUACGUCCCUGCCCUUUGUACACACCGCCCGUCGCUACUACCGAUUGAAUGUUUU
rnacentral:rRNA from 1 species